ensembl:lncRNA
ACUGGCAGUGUCCUCUAAUUGCAGGCCAAGAGGAAGUUGCCAGGAGAGGUUAAACGACUUCCUAAAGCUGGACUGGCAAUCCUGACCUCCAACAUAAUAAUGUCUCAGCAGAACACUACUGAGUUGUCGUGGAUGUUGUUUCCCUCGUUGUGUCCUCUUAGAGAGCUGGAGAGAGUGUUAAAGGAAGAGCAGGGUAGGAACUAAUUGAGGCAAGCUCCUAGCAAGACAAUUAGCAACUUGAAGAUACGCCAGCUUCAUCCAUGACGGGGCUACUGGAAGAGAGUCUUUGGUGUCACACUAAUCCCAGGCACUAAGUUCCAUGUCUCUUAGCCCCCUUUACCUUAAAGGACAGUGUUUUCUCCUUGCCUGAUGGAUCUUCAGACUCUGGUCUGCGGCUCUGGUCCUGUGUGUUUCUCCUCCCGCCAUUCCGCCCUGAGCUGGAGGAAGACUCUUCAGGCAUGAGGGACAGCCAACACCUACAUUCUGUAGCCACAGGAUCCUGCACAGCUUGCCCUCUGGCCCAUUCUCCACAGCUGAAAAGCCACCAGGUGCCAGGCCUGAUCUGGGAAGAUGACAUAGAUGAUUUCAUUUAACUUGCUCAGCUGACCUACAAGGGCACUAUUUUACUCCUAUUUGUGGGAGAGUUGACGGCGCUUGAAGAAAUGAAAUGAUUUUUCCCAAGUUGUCCCAGCUGGUAGGUGGUGCAGGGAUGAGCUGAACCAGAUCUGCUUGGUGUGGAUGCCUGCACUCUUGCCACCCUAGAACAUCAGCCGGCCUUCUCUCAUGGGGAAAGAACCUGAGACUCACAAAGUGACUUGGCCAAGGCUCGAUUACGGAAUGUGAGACCUGGAAAAGCCGUUAGAGGGUAUGAAGCUCAACUUGCUCAUUUUAUGAGGGAGGAAAUUGAGGUUCCGAGAAACUGGGUUGAGCUGGAGGCCUGCUGACUGGGGGCUGUGAAGCCAGUACCCUGCCAUCCCUCUUGGCCUUUGUUCUAGUGUAUAAGCUCAGACAACUGCCCCUUCACUUUCCUGGGCUGCUCCUCUUUCAGAAUCCACCUCUGGGUGAUUAAUUGUGCUGGGCAGGCUGAUGCCUGAAGCCUCUGUUUCCUCUAGGGAAGGUAGAUGACUAAGCGAUGGAGUUAUGGUCUCUCUCUGUAAGAACACUCCUAUUCUGGUGUUUAGGAAUUUGCCUCCAAAAUCUAGGCAAAACGUGGCUAUUCCCUAGCAUGGGGAGAGCUGCGAUGGCUUUGAAAGCCAUGGAUGCAUACACUCUGAGGAGAAACAUCAGGCUGCAUUAGCAGAGAGUUAUGAGAUGUUUUGCAAAACUGGAUAUAAUUCCAGUGUUGGGAGAGUGAAGUUUUUUUCGUGAAUAUUACUUUGUUUGUUGAUUCUCAUCAAACUUUAGCUCACAUAAGAACCUGGAGGGCCUGUUACUACUCAAUCGCUUGGGCUCUAGCCCCAGGGGUUCUGAUCCAGGAGGUCUGGGUGCAGCCUGACGAUUCCCACUUCUCAUUGAAGCCCCUGGGUGAUGCUGAGGCACUAGGCUCCGUCGCCGACCACACCUCAGGAGCACUGCGUCAAUACACUUACUGAAGGCCAUCUGGGCCUCUGCAGGACAGCCGCCUCAGGACCCGACAAGCCUGAAUAGGGGAAGGUGGCCACACUUCUUUAAGGUUUUCGGUUUUCAGUAAAACAUAAUUUAUGAAGAAAGAACUAAGGAUGUCUACCACUUAGUCCAUCUGUUGACAAUUUAUUUUCCAUUGUAAACAAAUGUAGAUUCUACAAUUUAUUAUGCAUAAAUUUGGUGAUAAGAUGGGUGAAAUCCAGUCUUCUGAAAUAUGACAAUUGCACAAUAGAGUAAUACUUAACAAUAUCAUUUUCCUACACAGUGGAUGCUGCUGUUAUUUAUCCCAAAACUGCUGUCUACGGUGUUUCCAUUGUUUUUUGUAGAGUCCAGGGUCCCUCAUCCCAGGUUCAUUUAUAAACUCGACUCCUUACUAACGGCCCCAGUCUCUCUGGUCUCCCUCUCCCUUAGUUUGAGGAACACUAAAAGUUACAGGCAGGAUUAUGUUUACACGGAUCCAUUCCCUUUUCCAGUGGCUUUUCAAUGAUAAGGUGUGUGAUCCUGGCCGCAAAACUAAGAAAACUCUCAUUAAAGAACUGCUAUUUGAUCAAAGGAACCAAAGGCUCAAGUGAGGAAUCACCUUUUAAACGGCAGCUUCUCCUUGAUGUAAUUUGCGGGAGCGCUGCCAAGCAUUUAGGGCACAGAAACCAGCGAGCAGAGGCAGCAGCGUGCUGUUUUCCCUACAACUCCGGAGAUAAUUGUCCAUGCUGAUCUGUGAUUUAUUUCUUUCACUGAAAACUUCGAGGGAAGGAAUGCAUUCAGUGAAACAGAAAAGGGAGAAUCCAAAACACGUAUUUUUAAUUACUCCAAUAAAAUGCAACUGCAUAAAAAGGCCUCUUGACAGCUUUUGUGGUUAAAUUUCAUAAACAAAUUGGUAAAUUUUAGGACGUUUAUUUGCGAAAUUUACCAUCAGAGAGCACACUUCUUUGAGAACUGAGUAGGUCUGAUUUUCAAGCAGAAAAUCACAUGGUGCUUCCUUUGGAGUGGGUGAAGGCACGUGCAGAAAGCCGUGAGGAGGGCCGGUUGUGUCCUUAUCUCUGUUUGCGCCAUCCAGUCUCCUGCGCCCGGGCAGAGCCCCCAAGCCCCUUCUCCUGUUCUCUUGAAUUAUUCCACUCAGUUUCUAGUUGCACUUUUCUCACCCCAAGAGAAAAAACCCCGAGGAAUGAACGCUUCGUCUUUUAUAGUCAGCUAUUUUGGGAGGUAUUUGAGGCUGUCUUUGAACCUUAUUUCAUUUAAAUUGUUUUUUCAUGCUAAUGUUGUUCUCUACCUAAUUUUGGUCACUUCUUUGCAAUGCCCUUUCACAGAACAGAAACAGAAAUAGGUGCUAGUGUCACUGAGUGGAAGUUUGCUUCCCAAAUGCCCUAAUUGUCCUUAAUCCAAUUCUCUUAUAUCAGAGAACUAUAGCUGCCAGCGCCGUUGAGAAAGAAUAUUUUCCUUGCUUCUGACAGAUUCUUCCCCUAGUGCCUUGAUCCCAAGCCCUCCAAUUACGGUUGAGUGUCCUGGAGUCAUAAUGCCUGAACAUAAAUGGUCCUUAAGCAUCUAGGUUUUUUUCUGGCAGUUCACUAUUUUGUCUUCUUCUUUCUUAUUGACAGUUUUGUAAAAAUACUUUCAAGUUUGUCACGGCUAUAACAAAGGGCAUUGAAUGGAAGAAUCGCUCUCCUUUGAACCCUUCUUCAAUGCUGAAGUUUAAAAUUUUUUCUUUAUGUAUGUCAUGUUUUCCUGUUUCUGUUUUAUGUAUUCAGAAGACACUGCCAAGAAGGAGACUGUUGGAUCAAAAGGCAUUAAUGUUUUUCUAGCUCUUGAAACAAUUUGAGUAUAGUUUCACCAUGAUGAUACCAGAAUUUGGUGUUAGUUUUAUUGAAAUUUGUUUUGCAAUCUUAAUAGAUAGAUAAUGGUGCCUAU